UCACGCAUAUAGCUGGGAAAUGGUUGCAACCAUCUGUAAUACAUCAGCCACAUAAAUAAACUUCCCAUCUUUUCUUCCACUAGCAAAGCACCAUCAGGACACAAACUCAUCCUAUUUCACGACAGAAUUUCCAAGCCCUGCUAGACAGCUGAAAUUUCUCAGGAACUCUUCUGAAUCAAGUAGGAAAUCAGCCUGCAAAGGCCACAAAUAUGGAGUUGCAGCAUCUGCAAAGUUUCUGCAUCAGUACAGACUAAUAUUUGAAUCAGGAAGCAAGCAGGGCCAGUUGCAUACCUGGCUGCAUGCUGCUGGCUCGUUUGCUCCCACUUAUUUGAAAACUCAGCAGAAAUACAGUGCCUGUCUUGUCAGAGACAUGUCUUACAAAAAACAGUAUGACACAUGGCUGCAAAGCAAGUUUAGCAGGAACUGUGGUUAGUUUAGCACCACUACCUUUACAGUCAUCGGAGAUGGGUAUGACAGAGGCUGACUCCAUGUCAACAGUCAAAAUAGGUGAAGGAGCUCAAAGGUCCUGACUGGAGAAUGAUGCAAAUAACACUCCAUGAAGAGAAAAGUGGGUGUAUGGAGUGAAUCCUUAUCUGCAUGAGGUAAUCUCUGUUGCUCAAAUACAAACAUCAUUGCAUAUGGAGAAACUGCAGCUAGAGACAGAAAUAACCAGAAAUAAAACAUUUAAUAUUUAUACUAUUGUCAUAGCUCUGACAUUCAAUAGAACAUUACAACUCUUUGCAGAAAACCAUGUAUCUUCAGAAUGGUUAGAAAAUGAAAAUAUAUUUUAACUCAAAUGAAAGCCCUCAAAUAUAUUUAAAACAUAUUUUAAAUAUGCGUCAUUGCUGAUUAAGACCUUAUUUUCCUCUAAAACAUAGCAAAAAGAGAAGUAUAAUUCGAUGUCAUGGAGCUGUGAUUGUUUCAAAUUCAUUGGACAGACUAGCUGUCAGCAAGAUAAAUGAAUCAUCCAUAGAUAACUCAUAUUGCCAUAUUUAUGAGAGUGGGAUUGGAAAAAGAAAAGCAGUCAAUUAAAUUGAAAAGGAAAAUAUUGCACGGGACAGUUUUCCAAAUGCAUGUGACAAGUGAAACUAAGAUUUGUUAAAAACUGAAAUGUGAAAUCUUUUACUUAUUUCUGGUAUAGUUUCCAUGUUUUAUUGUUUUCUUGUUUAUAUACCAAGCAUCAGCUCAAGAGUUUUAUCUGUUUCUUAUUUAGACAUGAGAUGAGUGAUGUGAGUACAAAAUGGGUAGAUUGUCCAAAGAAUUUUUACUAGUGCUAGCAGCAAUGGAGGAACUAAUCUAUGUUGAAGCAAGGCACAUAGUCUGGAAUAUAUUUAGGCAUUUAUACCAGGCAUUCUGGGGAAAAAAAUCCUACCUCCUCAACAGUGGGUACGUGUUUAUCAAGUGGGAAGGUGAAUAAGGGAUGAUCAAAAUAUCAAAUAAGACUAACUGAGGGAUGUUACGGAAAGAAAUGAUGAGCCAACCUGACCAGAAGGGAAUAAAGUUCCUGUGCUUUUGCAAUAGAAAAUAUCCCAACUUCCCUUUCCCUCCAGUGACACGAAGGAAACACAGGCAAGCCUUCUACAACACUACACUGGAUGUAUUGCAUGUGUCAAAUGUCUUUGACCAGCUAUUCUCUUUCUAUUCUUAGCAAUACUGUUUUCUAACACCAAAGCUGAAAGCUAGGCUGAGAAGGUUGAGAUGUUGCACCCCUAAAAUAAACACUAAUCAGAAAUCAAAAGUUAGGGAAGAAUGUCUCCUGUACUGUUCACUGCUGAAUAUGUAUUUAUAUUGAAUACUCAAGAAGUCCUAAGUGUGGGAAGGGUGUGAUGCUCCACAGAUACUGAAAAUGCUGAACAAACUCCAAAUGCCAGUCAUGCCACAUAAGUAUCUCUGUAGCCCAGUAGCCACCUAAUCAUGGUACGAAGUCCAGAGGAAGCAGCAGAAAGGGUGUUACAUUAUAUUACAGUCCAUCACAUAUAAGCUCUGUAAAAGACAGUAUAGGAAGUUUGAACACAGAAUCCAUCAGUGAAUGAAAGAACUUUAAAAACACUCUGAGACCAACAUCCCUCUGUGUGGAUGAAUCAGGCAACAACAAAAUGUCUAGGGGGUAGUUAUUAUGGAUAGCCUUACAAAUCAUCAAUAUAAUGCUAAAUUAACUUGCUUCAAGGCCAUAUAUCUUUUAUGUAAGGAGUGCUGCACGUUUUAAAACUAAGAGGUCUGUGUCUGAUCUCAUACAUAGCUCAAUGAAUCAAGAACACUCCCAGCAAGAUCCACAGAAUUUCUUUAAUGAGGAAUGAGUGAGUGACAGACUGCAUCCUGUGCUCAUUCCGAGAGCUGAGCAUGUGGCCAUAGUGGAGUCUUAUUCCUUAAUGGUAAAAGGCUUUUGAAAUCCAUUUAAGUCUAUUAGUGCGCCCAUAAAAUUGUGCUCUCACUCAUUUUCUCAAAAUAAAUAUCCUGAACUUAAUGGAGCAUAGUGUCCUUUCACUACCAGUACCCAAGAACUCCAAUUAUGCAUUAUUAAGCUAUUAAACUGAACUGAACGAGAAGAACUGGCACUUACUGGCAAGAUCUCUGUUCUAAAAUGCUCAGUAAUAAACUACAGAAAAAUUAGCAAGUGGUUAUAAAACUGCCAUCUCCUACCAGCUGCUAUCAUUUUGUUUUCUCUAACACUUAGAAAAGCACAUCUUAUGCAUGCACACAUAUAUAUAGAGGAAGGCACACAGAUCUACCUGUGCUGUCACACACUGAGCUGUCAGAGUAUUUCAGAAAGCCAGCUCACUCUUGAGCAUGCUGUAGGCCGGUUCCUGCAACAUAAAGAUGAUGUGUCCUCUGGAAGUUUCUAAAAUACUCUCUAAAAUCAGAGAGCAUGUCUGGCUCUACAGACUUCAGGAUGUGAAGCAAAAGACUUCCUGAGCCCCCAGAUAGCUGGUGGCAUAUUUUGAUGACAAAUUAAUCAACACUGGAGCUUCUUCGUGUUUAUUGUUCCAUUUGGUAUGCAAGGAAUGUGGAAAUGGGAAAAAUCAGACAUUGUAAACUUGUUACACUCUUAUAAGGUGAUAUGAUUUCCAAAUGAAAAGCUGAUGACAACAUAAUAAAUGUUUCAGAGGUGUGCAAACAUCACAAAUGAUUAUCUAACACUUCACCCGCUUGAAAAAUCAAGGAAUAACUAUGUUAUUGUUUACUUCAACACUAACCUAUUCAAGUCACUUGCUCUACGCCUCUUACUUAGAGUGCUGUUUAAAAUCCACAACCAACCUUUGUGAUCUUUGCUUCACACUAGAUUUAUGGUAAAGCAGUGUUUUCACUGUUUUGUUUGCAAUGCUGGCAUCUAUUAUUUCCAUUAUUAUAUAUUUAAUUUACUUUAUUACUUUUUAUCUUUUGACAUCGAUUUUAUAGGUGACAAACAUUCCCUUGAGUUAUGACUGAGUUGCCUCCUCGCUCACCCUAAUUCAUGCGUUGAAAGCACAUGUUUGGAUCUGCUUGCUCGAAAUUGCCACAGUAUGGAGUGAAAAGAACAAAUAAAAAUGUUACUUAAUUAUGCAGAGCUGAUGGUGGAGCUAAGCCAGAGCUACUGCUCCUCUCUACUUUCACCAGCACAAUGCAGUUCAUCUCUGUGGAGUUUUAUUGUCAAUGAGCCCAAGAAGAAAAUACUGUCUCCUGAAAGGAUACAAUAAAACAUAAGUUUAUAUCAUACCAUAUAAAGUUUUAAGGAGUUCACAAUGACUGAGCUGAUGGCACCGACAUGUAGUUAGAGAUUUAUGACUGCAAAUAAUUUUUUUUCCACUCACGGAUGAGCUCAGCACCCAUCUCAUGCAAUGCUGCCACGGGCUGUUGCAGCCCAGAACAGUGUACCGUGGCAUAAUCCAUUCGCCUGCCAGAUUGAAGGGAAAGCAUUGAACCCUUUUAUGCACCAUCAUGCAGGGAACUGGCUAGAGCUGCAAUUUCCAAAACAUCAUCCCUAAGAUUUGAUACCUGAAACCCUGUUUACAUUCUUUAAAUAUGAGUAAGCUGAGCACACAUUUGCUGAGCAUUUAGGGCUCUGCCACUAUUGAUAUUAAAACUGCCUUCAUCCGUAUCUGUCCACAUAUAUAUGGUCAGCAUGUCUGGUCCAUAACUGAGGCUUUAGAGAUUUAGUUGGCUGGUUGUUGUCCUUCUGGGUAGGGUAGGGAUGCUGGUUUGUGAGAGAAGUGUCAGGUCGAAGACAUCUGGGCUUUUCAACCUGCCCUAGUAGCCCUUUUUUAUUCCUUCUUUCCAAACACAGAAUUAAUGAAAUAUGUUUGAUAUCAUUUUAAGUAGAAACUUAUGAUAAUCAUAAUCAGAGGAUCACAUAAUGGAAAUUACGUAUGGUCACUUCAAGACUGGGACAAGGCUAAAUGUACAUUCACUUACUGAGGAAUGUGGAGUUAUUGUUCCAUAUUCUCAGCCAGUUCUCAUCCUGUGAAAGGAAAAACCCUCUCCUACAGUCAAACCACACAGCUCUUCAAGUGACCUUUACAUUUAAUAGGCAUAGGCUCAGCUGAAGGUAAGCAGGCAUUUACUUUCUAGAUUGCAAGUAAGAAUUCUGCAACAUUAUAGAAAAGCCUAUAUUUUUUUGUUAUAUACUUUGUACAAAUAAGUAUAGGAUAUUAUUUGAGUAAUAUAUUGUGAAAAUACACUCACAGAAUUCUUCUUAAUUAUUAUUAUUAUCUGAUUAAUUAGUAUUUGACAAAAUGCUUAGUGUUAUAGAUGUUUAAAAAUAAAGAGGAAGAAAGCUGUAUGUCAUGAACUCUCCUGAAGAGCAUUUAAAUGCACGGAAAUUAGAUUCACAGAAUCACUUUACUUAUGCUCUUUCACCUGUAUAUUUUUGUUCAUCCUUUCCCAAGCCUGCUUUGUCCCUCCCUUGGGGGGAAUGUAGGAGACAAACAUAUCCAAAGGUUAGUGACACUAGAGAAGUGGGUUUUGAGAUAACCUGUAAAAUAGAAUGAUACCACAACUAUACUGCAUUUUCAGCUGUCAGCCACAUGGCUUUUGAUUAGGAAGAAACUAAAUAAAAAUACUCCAGAUGUUAAAAUAA